UACGUAGGUGGCAAGCGUUGUCCGGAAUUACUGGGCGUAAAGGGCUCGUAGGCGGCCAACUAAGUCAGACGUGAAAUCCCUCGGCUUAACCGGGGAACUGCGUCUGAUACUGGACGGCUUGAGUUCGGGAGAGGGAUGUGGAAUUCCAGGUGUAGCGGUGAAAUGCGUAGAUAUCUGGAGGAACACCGGUGGCGAAGGCGGCAUCCUGGACCGACACUGACGCUGAGGAGCGAAAGCCAGGGGAGCAAACGGG
rnacentral:rRNA from 1 species